rnacentral:rRNA from 1 species
UACAGAGGGGGCAAGCGUUGUUCGGAAUUACUGGGCGUAAAGGGCGCGUAGGCGGCCUGUUAAGUCGAACGUGAAAUCCCCGGGCUCAACCCGGGAACUGCGUCCGAUACUGGCAGGCCUGAAUCCGGGAGAGGGAUGCGGAAUUCCAGGUGUAGCGGUGAAAUGCGUAGAUAUCUGGAGGAACACCGGUGGCGAAGGCGGCAUCCUGGACCGGCAUUGACGCUGAGGCGCGAAAGCCAGGGGAGCAAACGGG